AACUGAAAUAGGUUUUUCUUUUUUUAAACAAGGCGUCUUAAUGUUCUUGCCCGGUUUGGGGGUGAGUGUGUUUUUUUAUAUGUAGAAACCUGCCCCCCCCCCCCCCGCCCUUUUGCUAAUUGUUUCAAAGGUCUGGUUUCCUCCCAUGGGAUAAUCUUGAGAAAGAACAACAGCGUUAGGGUGGUGUGUGUAGGGGGUGGGUAUGCUCUUGUGUAGUUUGUGAUCACUGGUGAGAGGAGAACAUGAAAAUCAGUGUUCUAUUUCCUCAUCCUUCAACAGCCCUGACCUGCAUCGCCUCACCACGGAUGUGCUUUGGGGGG
rnacentral:lncRNA from 1 species